rnacentral:rRNA from 1 species
GAGACUCUGUGCGCGUGCAUAUCAAUAAGCGGAGGAAAAGAAACUAACUAAGGAUUCCCUCAGUAACGGCGAGUGAAGCGGGAAGAGCUCAAAUUUGAAAUCUUCAAGGUUCUACCUUGACGAAUUGUAGUUUAUAGAAGUGUUUUCUGUUAGUAGAGUGGCAAAAGUUCUUUGGAAUAGGACAUCAUAGAGGGUGAGAAUCCCGUAUUUGGUACAUUUCUCCUAGCUGUUGUGAUACACUUUCGAACGAGUCGGAUUGUUUGGGAAUGCAGUCCAAGAUGGGUGGUAAAUUUCAUCUAAAGCUAAAUAUUGGCGAGAGACCGAUAGCGAACAAGUACCGUGAGGGAAAGAUGAAAGAACUUUGAAAAGAGAGUUAAACAGUACGUGAAAUUGUCAAAAGGGAAGCGUUUGACACCAGUGUUGUUUAGUUCGAAAAUCAAUUCUAAUAGUUUUUGAUUCUGAGGAGUGAUUGACUUCAUCAGGCUUGCUGCUUUCUUCUCACGAAACUUAUUGUAAUGCACUUUUCAGGUUAACAAGUCAACAUCAAUUUCUUUUGUUGUAAAAGAGGUCAUUGAGGAAGGUGGCUUUCAUUUCGGUAGAAAGUGUUUAUAGCCUUGUGACUUCUGCAAUCGGAGAGAUUGAGGUCUGCAGCGUAGAUCCUUCGGGGUUAGAUACAUUUGUGCUAAGUUAUAGCUUUUCAUAGACAACUUGUUGACUAUGUUUAGUCUUGUAGCUUACUCGCUUACUGCUAUUUUACCUACGCUUAGGAUGUUGACAGCAGUAUAGACUGU